CUCCGUCUCAAAAAAAAAAAAAAAAAAAAGAACUGCUUGUUGAGUAUUUCUUCCAUUUUUUCCCCAUCACUCUAUUGACCAUGUGCCAUGAGUAUGUAACUUGGUUCAGCUGACAUUCAGAUCUUAUACUUUGUAAACUUUUAUGAGAAAUGGUAGACUCUCCAUUGAAUAUGCCCAGGAAGAGGUAGAUAGAGAACCUUCAGAACCUCUUUCCUUCUGAAUUUGGUGUUCCACUGAGGAAGACCAAGAGCUCUGAUGCCGUAAGUACUUUUGAAGAAAGUAUUAUUUUCUUAAAAUGAAGGUAAAACCAAAGUUUUACACAAGUCCUUAAGAGGAAUAGAGGUGAAAAAAAAGCAAGAAAGAAUAAUGAAAAAGUAUUAAAGGGAAGAAACAAAAGGUAGAAGGGAAAUACGAAGAGUUGACCAAAAAAUAAAAUGAAAAAAAGGUCCAAGAAAAUAGAAUCGUCCAGGACAAAAAUAAAAGGAAAAAAUUCAGGAAUAACUGGACUAUGAAGAUAGAACGUUUAAAAAUCCUGAAAGAAAAGAGGAUGAAGGAAAAUGUAAAAACAAGGAAAGACAUUGAGUUAAAUGGCAGAGGAUUUUUUUUUUUUUUUUUGGAUGGCAGGCAAUCAAGAAGAGCAACAAACUCUAAAAGAAAGAAGGAACAGAGAAACAAGAACUUGAGUUGGGAAUUGAGAGACAUCAUGUUAAUUAAAGAAAUGGAUUCAUUCCACAAGAUUUUUAAAAAAUAAAGUACAUCUUAAGUUUUGGCAAUAAUGAAAGCUACAUCAAUACGUCUGAUGUUUCUGUUCCUUCUUCUGUAGAAAGGAUAACAAUAGUUUAUUAUCCUACCCUACCAAGGUUGUUCUGAAGACUGAGUGACAUGAUGUUCAGUUGCCUUGCACAUGGUAAGAUCUCAGAAAAUGUAUACUAAUAUUAUUAUUAUGUGUGUUCAGGGAAAUGUGAAUGCACCUUGACAUUAGAAAGAAAUUGCUAACCCUUAGGCUUUCAGCAAUGGCUUCAUGGAGAAGCUAAGACAUUGCAGUAAUUGUGAAGGAGAUGAAAGCGAACCAAAUGAAGAAAAUAGAAAAUAUAAACCUAGGCAAGAGAAACCUUGGAUAAAGGAUAAAGUACGCAAAGAAGUAAAUCUUUCAGUAUCCUUAAGUAUUGGUUAUUUUCAUUAAAAAUGGCCCUAUCAUAAGAGAAUGAGAGGAACACUGAGAAUGUAUAUGCUUUUCUCAGAAAUUAUUAUACAUCUUUAUAUUGCUUGGAGAUGUUAUUAAAAGAAGUCUCAUCGGUUUGAAACCUUUUGUUUUAUAUAUAUAUAUGUAUAUAUAUGAAGGAAGAUAUUUAAUUUUGUAAAAUCAUGUAUUUUUUGCAAAUUUGUUUGCAUUUGUAAGUUCUUAAGCUAUAUAAGACAAUCAGAGGUAAUAUACAAGUUAAAUAUAGAAUUGUUUUUAUUAAAUUCAGAAUACCAAUUAAAUUAGACUUUGUAUAUAUGUUAUUUAGUUGUUCAGCAGUUUGGCUUUUGUCUAGUUUUAAGGCUACGAUAACGUUAGGUUAUUUUUUAAUUCCAUCAUUGUGUUAAAAAGAUGUACGUGUCCUCCGUCAGUGCUGAAAACUCAGAGUACAAUUAGCAACAGGGCCUACUUCAGGGUGGAGGGUGGAAAGAGGGAGACGAUUAAAAAACUAACUACAGCCUACUCAUACUUUUACCUGCGUGAUGGAAUAAUCUGUACACCAAACCCCCAUGACACGCAAUUUACCUGUAUAGCAAACCUGCACAUGUACUCCUGAACCUAAAAGUUACAAAAAAGAAAAAAUUAGCAAGGAAUCCAGAAAAAAAAAAUGAGACUUUACUGGAAUAGUUUUUAGUACUUUAGGGAUUGUGAUUUCCUUAUCUUCUCUCUGGUUGUUAGUACAUAAUAUUUGUAUUCUUUUGAAAUUAAAAUUUCAAGCUUUCUCUUGGACAUGAGAAUAAAAGGAAGGGAGACACCCCACACUACCAUUUUUCUGUUUCCCCUCAUAGGCUAGCUUGACUUUCAGUUUAAACCUCACUGCAGAAGGGGAGAAAACCAAUAGCCUUUCGGGCACCAGCUGGUAGGAUAUCUCUUAUACCUCUUUUGGAGUAAAUGGAUCCAAGCCCUUCAUGAAGCAGCUGUGCGGUUGUUGGGAAGCACCUAAAGAAGAUCACCAUCCAACUCCAGGAGCCCCACGGAUUUCCGUAUCACCUCUGUGUGGUCAGCAGCCAUGGUCCAGCCUACCUUCCCUAGUGCUGUGAUCUGUCCACCACUAUAGGUCCCACCCUCAUUCAACUGAAUCUGUACAGUAGAAGAGACAUAGCACAUGAGGGUUACUUUUUGAGCCAAAUACAUUUGAUUGGGAAGAACUACCUGGAAAGUCUUAAGAAUUAUGAGAUCACAUUGGGGCUUGAUGGGAAAGGGUGCAGCGACCCGUAAGUGACAUCUGCCAUGAAUAUGAAAGAUAAAAGUCACUCCAGUGGCCAGUCUCUAAAAAGAACAACCCUGGGUGAAGAUUGAUUGCAUUAAGUCUUUGUUUUAAAAUGAAUAUGAGUCAUGGCUUUUAGUGGUUCUUUUUCUCGUAUUUUUUUUCUCCUUUCACAGAAAAUAAAACUAGCAUGGUGAUCUUCCUAUCGAAGGAGGCAUAUUGAGAAACAUCCUAGUCCUAGACUAGCAUUUACUUUUUAUUUAGAAAGACUUAUGCAAUGUGUAUAAAAUUACAAGAUUUAUGAAUAGAGCAACAAAAUAAAUUAAAAUGCUGUAUCUCCUCCCUCCCCAAAUUGAGAAACUAAUAUUAUCUCCAUUCUGCCAAUGGGAAAGCUAAUAGCAAAGAAAGUUGCGUGAUUAUUAGAAAGGAUGACCACCAAGCCCUUUUUUUGUUUAUUUAACCGCCACACAUUCAUUCUUUUUUCCCUUUCUAUUUUGAAAGCUCAGGACUGAUGUCAUUUAAAACAAUACACAUCAAAAUCUUAGAUUAGAUAUAUUUGUAUAUUUACUCUGCUUUAUUGGCAAGCGUCAAUUAUAUGAAUUAAGUAGAUUACAAAAAUGCUAAAUGGCUUUUGUAAAUGACAAAUUAAAGUCACUUGUCAUUCACUGUCAA